UAGCUCAUAUUUCAGACAGGUACAAGAAAGAAGUCAAUGUUUCAGCCUGCAUGAAAAGGUUCCUUUGAAGAGAGGUUUUCUUGUGAAUGUUUUAUUCUAGUGAAGCUUGUAUAGAUAUUUGUGAGAAAUACUAUAGACAACUGAUUUUGCUAGUGAAGUAACUGCAAAAGAAAAAUAAAGAUUCGGUAGCAUUUUUUCCUGUAAUUCAGUCAAUGGAGAACAUGAAACAAUUAUCCAAUAAAAUUCAACAGGAAGCGGGAGCUGCUGAGUACAUUCCCCAUUACAAUCAAGUGUGGGGAAAAAAAAAAUAAAAUAAUCAGUGUGGAAGAACAGUCAUUUCAUGGAGUAAGUGGGACAAGGCAAAAGAAUCUGUAGGAAAGAAGGAAAUGAUCACUUUUUACUAAUUUCUGUAACAGCUUUAACUGUUUUGUCACCAUGACAGCAAGAACAAAAGGCAGGUGCUCUUAAUUAAAGUCAUACUUCUGCCAAAGACAGAGUUGCAUCUAAAAUACUGAAGAUGAGUACCUGUAGGUUCUGCUUAUUGUGAAACAAUCUGAAAUAAAAUUGCAGAGGAUUCAAGAUGUGUGUAGUUGCCAGUAGUGCUUUGAAUUGUAUCUUGAGUUCACCAGGAUGCUGCAGGGUCAUCCCUCAGAUGUUGUGACAUGGGAUCUUGUAGGAGAGAAUCAAGCUUUAAAGUUCCUCCUUGGCAGGCACAACAUCAAUCAUCCAGCAAGUUGUUUGUCUUCUCCUCACUGCUGAGACUUUGAGAGGGAUUCAUCAAGUAUUAAUGAGUCCUCUAGGUUGCUUGCCGAGAGCUAUAAAACUGCAGCCUGUAAUUCCAAGCUUUGAAAAGAACAUAUCUUUCUGUCUCAGUGUAUGUUAAAGGUGCUCUCUGAAAUAAUUAAAGGGCAGAAAGAGAGGAUUUGGCCAAAACUUUAAAAACAAGAGCCCAGUAGCUACCCAUGUCAUUUUUCAAUUAUCUUGUUGAAAUCUCUACCCAUGAAAACACCCCUGCACAGAUAUGUCAGACAACACUGAUUUGUCACUGAAAUAUUAUCUAAGAAAUCUGUGAGGUGAAUUGGUGAGAAGCAGUUCUAAAAACACCCUGACCAAUGGAAAAAAAGAUAAAAGUUAAAUACUUCAUCAAUGCAUAAUACUUAUAAUUACUGUACCUGAUACAAAGGGCUCUUGGGGCUUCCUAAGUGAUUUGAUAAACCAUCAAAAACAAUUAUAUAUUCUAAUAUCUUUUGAUAAAUAGACUUACAAAAAAAAAAAUCAAAAUUCUCUUUGUGAUCAUGCAUGCAUUUAUUCUCAUGUAUGCUCACUUACCACAGUACAGAUGAGUAGAGCAUGUCUGAAUAAAAAAUAUUAGAUGCCUUAAUCUCUCA
rnacentral:lncRNA from 1 species